AGCAGAAAUACUCUGUUUCAAUGAAGAGGUGUGCUGUGGGAAGGCCAGCAGACCCUCAGGUCUUCCCUCUACGUCCCCUGAGAAAUGUGCCGGAAAAAGAGCAGCUCUUCUGCAAUCUGAGGCUGCACAGCUCUGUAACCGCGUGGCAUCACCUGCCUGCCACAGGAAGGGACCUUUGUGAUUAGCAGUCUCCAGAGGAAAACGUGACACCCAUUCACAAGGGUUCCUGGUGCAAUUUUGACACAGUAAAAUGCUUUUAAAGCAUCUAUCCAGAUGCUCUGAGAAGUGCCACUCCUGCAAACUGAAGAUGCCUGGCUUCUGUGUUUGGAGGAUGCAAAGCAACCAUUUCACUGGCAGUGUUUGCUCUGGACAUAUUCCACCACCAGAGGAACAGUCAGCAGUAAAGCACAGACAAGAGGCUCCUGUCAGAUCCAUCACUUCAUCCCCAGCAUGGUUAAAGGCUCAUUGAGAGAAAGACAUUCCUACACAAUGGCUAGUAUGUUCAUAUCCAUGCAUGUGUGUGUUUGUUUACAGAAAUACACGUGCAUUCAUUUUGUUAUUACAUUUUGCCUGGAGAAAUAUGAAGUAACCAAACUUGUGCUGGGAACAACACCACCAGCUGUUGAAGGACACAGAAAUUUGCACCCUGCCGCAUAAAUGCUUUGUUUACUGUAGUUUAAGAAAUACUGUGAAGGGGAAAUCAAGCAAGACUUGAGGACAAGUUUUACCUUUGCAGGUUGCCCUCCACUUGCAAUGGAAAUCUCCAACAUUUGAAGAUUUGUUUGAGCCCACCUGUCUUGUAGUGAACAUUUAGUAUUAAUUUUCUCUGCAAGGUCACUGGUACACAAAGACAAGGAAGGAAGAAAUCCUAACGUGACUGCCUUUUUGAAAUCCUUCCACCACAGGGCUCUGCCCAUUUAUCUUCUGAGGGAAUACAAACAACAAACUGAUUUAAGUGUUGCAGCAAUAGCCACAAAAGUGUGUUAGGACUGUAGCCCUCCUAACACCACGUGGAGGAAAGUGAGACAGCACCCAAUAGCAUUCCCUAAUUGCCCAUUUUCUGUUGAUUGCCAAAUCCUUCACCGGGUGCCUUCACCCUUGUCUGGCAAAGAUGAGGGGUUCUUGCUGUCUUUGCUUGCCCUGGCCAUCUUGUGUUGGACCUGCACCUCAGGAGAUGUGUCCUCCACCAAAGCCAAGGCCCAUUUCCAAGUGCAAUUAAAUUGUGGCGCAGGAAAUGACAGUGCAAAAUGCAAGGGAACAACAUUACCUUGGAGGAAAUUAUGUAUUCAGCAGGUCCUCCUCACAAAUCUUCCACAAAGCAUUACUUCUCCAGGGUAUUAUUACUGGACUUGGUAAAAGCUGUGCUCUUCCUCUGCAGGACACUACAUUUUUGAAAAAGCAGUUGCCUUUGUGUUGUUUUCCGAUUCUACAUUUUUGAAUAUUGAAUUCUCGAAACUGAGAACACAUGGCUGAGUCUAAUUACUAUUCCUAAUUCCUGCUAAGAUAGCCUGAAGCAGAUGUUUAAAUGAACUUCCUCACUGUGGAGAGAAAGCAAUCAGCAGGUAAUGAUAGGCUGGACAUAAUAAUGUCCUUUUUUUUGCUGGUGUCUAGGCCACUGCCAAACUGCUACUACCGCCACAAAUAAUCAAAGAAACAACAAAGAAAACCCCAAUAACAGGUUGGUUAUUGUUGGUUCACAUUAGAAGAUGCAAGAAUUCACACAUGCCACUCAUCCACUAUUUUCAUGAUACAGAGAAUGCCAUUAGUCACUAGAGAAAAAGAACAACAAAUUUCAAGCCAUUUUAAAAAUAAAUAUAUUUGUGACUGAAAAUUACUGUCUGCCAAAUAUUGCUUAAUAAUUCACCAUGGAUGUACUCAAUAUUUUCUCUUCCCUUCUGCCAGUACAUAUCUCCCAACCAAAAUUCCUGCGUGGGGCUAUGCCUUGGUUUUCAUCAGCCUUGUCAAAAGAUGACACAACAGAUGUGUAAAUCUUUGCAAUGCAUUUUGCUUCUAGGAAAAGAUUUCAGGAGAGCACACAUGCUUGCUCCAUGUAUACUCAAAACUCAGCAGAUGUAUCAUGAUGAGUUGCCUUGGUUUGGCUCCAGAAUUAAAUUACAGCCAUCAGCACACCUCCUGCCAAGAACAGGGAAUGAAACUCUGUUUAGCCCAAUCAUCCUGCUUUAGCUGCAGUCAUGAUUUCGUGCCCUUUGCAGAAAUAUUUCCUUCUAAAAGUGUUCCACUAACAUUUGUUAAUGUAAGUAUUUCAAAAAUACUGACAGUAAUUGUUUUGUUCAC